rnacentral:lncRNA from 1 species
CGCCGCUCCCCGCGGCAGCCAUUUUGGAGUUGCACCAGCCCCGCCCCUCGGAGGCACCCGGCCCCGCCCCCUCGGUCCAGGAGCAGAAACAGGAAAUGGGAUUGCAAACCUAGUAGCUGCGCGUGCCGGCUAUUCAGGACUAGCGCAGGACUCUGGGCGACCUCACAUCCCACUCGUGCUGCUGCCCCGGGCACUCGCCUCCCGCGAAAAGUCGUGGGACCACGUCGAAUAUGGGG